rnacentral:rRNA from 1 species
UACAGAGGUCUCAAGCGUUGUUCGGAUUCAUUGGGCGUAAAGGGUGCGUAGGCGGCGCGGUAAGUCGGGUGUGAAAUCUCGGAGCUUAACUCCGAAACUGCAUUCGAUACUGCCGUGCUUGAGGACUGGAGAGGAGACUGGAAUUCCUGGUGUAGCGGUGGAAUGCGCAGAUAUCGGGAGGAACACCCGUAGCGAAGGCGGCACUCUGGGCCGGUACUGACGCUGAGGAGCGAAAGCGUGGGGAGCAAACAGG